AUUGGACGCUGGCGGCAUGCUUUACACAUGCAAGUCGAGCGGUAACAGGCCUUCGGGUGCUGACGAGUGGCGAACGGGUGAGUAAUGCAUCGGAACGUACCCAGAGGUGGGGGAUAACGCAGCGAAAGCUGUGCUAAUACCGCAUGUGAUCUGAGGAUGAAAGCGGGGGACCGAGCAGCAAUGUUUGGCCUCGCGCCUUUGGAGCGGCCGAUGUCGGAUUAGCUAGUUGGUGGGGUAAAGGCCUACCAAGGCGACGAUCCGUAGCUGGUCUGAGAGGACGACCAGCCACACUGGGACUGAGACACGGCCCAGACUCCUACGGGAGGCAGCAGUGGGGAAUUUUGGACAAUGGGCGCAAGCCUGAUCCAGCAAUGCCGCGUGCGGGAAGAAGGCCUUCGGGUUGUAAACCGCUUUUGGCAGGAACGAAACGGUGUCCGCUAAUACCGGGCGCUAAUGACGGUACCUGCAGAAUAAGCACCGGCUAACUACGUG
rnacentral:rRNA from 1 species